UGUUUCCUUAUUGGUUGUAAAAAUGAAAAGUGGUACCAUGAAAGUGGUAAACAUGUAAGUUCCCCUUUUUAUUUUAUUGUUUCAAAGUCUUUCAAAUUUUUUAUUUAAUUUAUCUUUGUUAGUUAUUUUAUGUUAAUAUAGAAAAAUCAGUUUAAGAUUAAGUACUUAUAUAUAAUGUUUUAAAUUUUCUAAGUUUAAAUUUUUAUAUUGAUUUAUUUUUUAUUUUGAAAUAAAUAUUUUUUGGUAAUAUUUAUUUGUUUUAGAAAUAAUCAAAGAAAAUAAUUGUUUCAGUAUCUAGCAUUUUAAAUUUUAUGUUAAAUUUCGAAAAUAUUAUAUAUAUUAAUUUAAUUUACAUAAUUUUUAAUUUUGAUAAAUUAUAUUUUGACAUUGAUUUAUAUUUUAUUGUUUGAAAGUUUCCAAUAUUUAUUUAAUAAUUAUCUUUUUUAUUAUUUUAAUGUUAAUUUCCAAAAAUAAUUUUCACAUUAAGUAACUUAUAUAUAAUGUGUUUACCUUUUCAAGUUUACGUUUUAUAUUAAUUUAUAUUUUAUUUUGAAAUAAACAAUUUUUGGUAGUAUUGAUAUUAAUUAGAAAUAGUAAAUUGAAAAAAAAUAUUUGGCAUAUUUUUGGUGAUUAAAAAUAAUAUGUGGACAUUUUAAGUAAUUUAUGACAUCAACUUAUCUAUGGUAUAUAUUAUGUUUGAAUAUUUUCAAUAGCAUAUAACCCAAAAAUGGAAAUUUCAUGUUUUAAAUUUUUAUAGUUAUAACUUAUAACUAGGUGUUUUCCUGCAGUAAGAAAUUUUUAAAAUUUAACUUAUAUUUUAAAAUAAAUUUUAUUAAAUAUUAUAGAUUUUACUAUUUUCUUACUAAUAUUCAAUAUAUAUUUGAUAUAUAUUAAAUCAAUUUGUAUAAAACUAAUAAAUGAUAUAAAAUUGUAUAACUAUAAAACAAUUAGCCUAAACAAUAUUUAUAAAAUUUGUUGAUAUAUAAGAAACUAGUAAUCUUACGAUUAGAUAUUUAAAUUUUUUAAAAAAUUGUAAAAAAAAUUGAAAGUUUUAAUAAUACAAAUUGUAUAAUUAUACAAAAAUAAUAAUAUUUCAAAAUAUCACUACAAAAAAAAGUCUACAUUGAUAGCACAUUGUUAUAGCACGUUUUACUGAACUGCUGUCGUAGAUGAUUUAGAUAUUUCUGUAUUAUAUUAUAGCAUUAGAUAAACGCUAUGGUAGAAUAAAACCUAAAAUAGCACUUAAUUAAUGUUAUUUUAAAAAUUAAGUGAGAGAGAAUAUAAAGUCACAGAUACCGCCAACACUUAGUGAAAAAUUAGAUUUAAGCGCCAAAGAUAUUUUUAAGCGGCUUCAACAAUGCUAUCAAAGACAUAUAAUAGCAUUUUUAUAACGCUAAGAAAAGCUCUUUGAACCCCUAAACUCUAAACAUGAUUUUAAACUCUAAACAUUGUUUUAAACCCUAAACUUUAAAGACAACCUUUAAACCUCUAAUCUUUUCAUACUAUAACUUCAAAUCUUAAAAUUAAAAUCAAAAUUUAAUCUUUUUAAUCUUAAUCUAUAAUUUCCUAAACACAUAUCUUUAAUCUUUAAUCAAACUCUAUAUCUUAAAUCUAAACUUCAAAUGUAAACUAAACAUUCAAUACUCUAAAUAUAAACUUCAAAUCUAAAUUAUUAAAUAUUUAACUACAAAUCGUCUAGUAUUCAAAUCUAUUAUUUUCGAAUCUUAAUCCAAAACACUAAAUUUUAACCCUAAACCUCAUAUUCCAACAUCAACACCUUAAAUCAUAAAACUAAAUUUACUCUUAAUCAUUUUUUUUUUGUAAAUCAUAAAAUAUAAAUUUAAAACUUUUCAAAUUUUGAAUCAAACAUACAAAUUUAUAAACGGAUUAUAAAUCAGUUUUUUUAUAAACAUGCAAAUUUAAAAAUGAUGACCAAAAUCAUAAUGAUGAUAUUAAUCUAAUAUUUUCAAACUUAAACAUCAAUUCAUAAAAUAAAUAUCAGUUUAUUAGGUUCAAAAAAUAAAAAAUUUAGACUUAAAUUAUAAACUACAAAAUAUUAAUUUUGAAAUAAGAUAUAACUAAUAAAAAUCACUUACAAAACAAAUUAUCAAAUAUGGAAAGACAAAACAAAAAUAAAAAUAAAAAAAAACAAAAACAAAAUUGUCUGGGCAAUCAGAUUAAAGUACAUGGAUCACACUUUUGAACCGUUAGAUUAACUUAGAUCUGAAGGUUAAGAUUUAUUCCUUUAAUUUUUAUUUUUAUUUUCUCCUCUCCCUCUCUCUCUCUCACUCUCAAGUACUCCACGGAUCUGGUCUUCAUGUUCUUCUCCUUCAUUCUCAUCUCUCCCAUCCCUCUCCAAUCUUACUGUUUCUCUCAUCUCUCCUAUCUCUCUCCACGCCUCUCUCAUCUCUCCCAUCUCUCUCCCACCGCGUCUCCUCCUCGUCUCACCACCACCACGGUCGCCCUCCCACCACCACCACCACCACGGUCGCCCUCCCACCACCACCACGGUCGCACUCCCACCACCACCACGAUAGUUGGGGAGGCAAGGUUCAUGGUGGCUGGAGGAGGCAAGGUCCAUGGCGGCUUGAGGACGGAAGUCUCGUGGCGGCUGGAGGAGGCAAGGCUCAUGGCUGUUGGAAGAGGGGCAAGGUUAUGGAGGAGGCGGCUGCAGUCUUUUCUUUUUUUUGUUUUAGGUUUAGAUUUGGUUUAGUGUAACCGGGUUAGAAAAAUUGUAGUGGUCUGAGUUUAUGUUAUAAUUACUGGUUAGUUUUGUAAACCAGGAUUAAUUUGUAAACCAAUUUUAAUAUAUAAAUAAAAUUUAUUUUAAUUUCAUUAUAAAACAAUUUUCGGUUUAAUAUUAAUUAUUUUAUUUCGAACUAUAAUUAAUUUUAGUUUAUUGCAGAAAGAUAUAUCAUAGCACGAAAAUAUAAAUCGUAACUAAUUUAUAACAAAAAAAAUAAUGUUAUGUUUAAGUUAAUAAUAUCAUUCAAAUAUUGCUAUCGUAUCUGCACAAUUCAUAGCAUUUAAAAAAAUGUUAUCGUAGAGGGGGUACCUAUGAUGGCUGCCGAUGACAUAGCAUUUCAAGUUUCGCUAUAAAAGCCCUACCAUAGCGUUUAUCGUGUGCUAAGAAUGCGCAUAUUUCUUGUAGUGUAUGAAAUGUUAUCUACAAAUAUAUUUAUUUUAUAGAUGAUGUAUGAGCUAUUACCAUAUUUUAAAAAAGUUUACCAAAAAAAAAUAUCAAUAUUAAAUAUAAUAUAUGAAUUAUUACCAUAUUCUGAUAAGUUUACCAAAAAUAUAAAUCAACACUACAUGAAAUUAUCCAUGUUAUAUUUUCUCGGAAGCCAUGUCAUCAAUUUUGGUAGCCAUGUCAUAUUUGUUUUGUGAAAUUGAUUGUAGAGAGGACAUGUGGCAAAAUCACUUCGCAAAUAUAGUCUAGGAGAUUGUUUGAAAGUCUUGUAUUAUUUUUUUAUUUUAUUUUUUUCGAAAAUUAAUUAUAUAUUCAGUUAACUUAUAUAUAUAAUAUUUUUACAUAUAUUCAGUUAAAUUAUAUAUAUAUAUAUAUAUAUAUAAUCUUUUUACUUUUGUUAGCUUUCCUUAUUUGAUAUUGAUUUAUGUUUUAUUUUAAAAUAAACAAACUUUUGAAAAUAUUGACUUUUUGAAAAAAUUAAACUAAAAUAAUGAUUUGUCAUAUUAUUAUUAGUUGUUUGAAAUCCUAUGUGUUUUAAAUCAUAUUAUUGAGAGGUUGAUUGUUUCUUUGUAGAAUAGUUUUUGGUUUUUGUUUUUCAAAAAACCAUUUUUUAUCCAAUCAAGCUUUUUAUGAAAUGGUUUUUCUAAAAUCUAGGGAAACUAGUUUUUAGAAUAACUGUCCAUUUCCAAACAAAAACCAAAAACCAGUUUUUUCUAGUUUUUUUGCUUGAAGUUUUUAUUAUUACAAAUUUAACUUACGUAAAAGCACUUUUUGGUGUAAUACGUACGUAAGACAUUAUGGUACUACGAUAUAGAUAAAAUGUAAGGCACUUUACCUAAGGUAUUCUUGAUUGCUAAUAAUAAUCCAUGAGCACAUCUAUAUAAUACAGCAAAUUCUUUAAUACCUAUGGCACACCUAAAGCAUAUUCAUCUAUUUUUAUUAUAACACAGCUUAGUUUUACUAAAAUUAUAAAAAUAUUUGAAUACUAUUUUAUCAAAUAAUAAUACUAUUUGAAUACUAUUUUAUCAAAUGUUACAUGUAUGCUAAUCAUAACAAAGCUUUAUUGUACUAAAGCUAUUAUAAUAUUUAAAUGUUAUUUUUAUUUAAUAAUAAAUUGAUGUAGUCAAAAUAACUCAUAAAAUUAUCUUAACUAAUCCAUAAAAUAAAUUUAAUUAUUUGAAGUUAGUCUUACAAAAAAAUAUAUUUAUUUUAGCUAUUGUUUUUAUUUAGGAAAAAAAAUAGUUUUUUGUUGUUUCUUUUACUAUUUCAUACAUAUAAGCAGUGGUGGAUGUAGAGCCUAUAAGGGUGGGGCAUCUGCCCCCUAUGAGUUUUUUUAAAAAAAGUUUUUAUUUACUAAAUUAUAAUGAAUUUUGAAGAAAUUGAAUAAAUUUGUCUCCCAUAAAACUUCAAACCUAGGGUUAAGUAUGCUUCAUUUGUAAGUUUGAAAAUUUUGCCCCUCAUUAUAAAACUUUCUAGAUCCGCCACUGCAUAUAAGCUAUAUGAUAGUAUCUUCCUUUUUAUUAUUCCAGAAUAAACAUUUUACUAUUAAUAAUAUUUUUCAUUUUAUUAUUUUUAAAAGUAAAUUCCAAAAACUAAAAACUAAAAUCUAAAUCACCUUUCAAGUUUUUCAAAAAACUAAAAUCUACUGCAAAACCAAAAACCAAAAUCCAAAAACCAAAAGCUAAAAACUAAAAACCAAAAACCAAAAACUGAAAACCAAAAACUAAAAACCAACGAAACAAUCAUCACCUGAAUAUUUUCAAUUGCAUAUAACAUAUACUUAAAAAUCAUGUGUCUUAAAUUUAUAUAGUUCUAAAAGUUAAAAAAUCUUGCAUUUUUAAGUUAAUUAUUAUAUUUGUAAGAUAUUUUAUGUACUUUUCAAAAAUAUAUUAUAUAUUAAGUUAAAUUAUAUAUAACUAUUUGAAUUUUGUAAAUUUACUAUAUUUUAAUUUAUUUCUAUUUUAUUAUGAAAUAAACAGUUUUGGAAAUUUUGACAUAUUUAAAAAUAGUAUAGAUUUAUCAUAUUUAAAUGAUUUCUAUUUUAUUAUGAAAUAAACAGUUUUGGAAAUUUUAAUAUUUUUAAAAAUAGAAAAUUAAAUAUCUGAUGUGUCAUAUUUUGAUUGGUGGUUUAACAUCUUAUGUGGAUGCUCUCAAUGAUUUAUAGUCUCAAAUUUUAUAUAGUAUAGACUAGAUUUUAUAUUCUAGCUCAAGUUUGUAUUAAUAAUUUAUUUUAGUUUUAUAUCAAAAUUGAAUAUUAUUUUUGUCACAUUUCUCUGUAAUUGGAUAAACGGUAAAGCUAAAAUUAGAGUGUCACACAUUUGCACUGAAACACAACAGUUUAGAACGUAAGUUGGAUUUUGAUUUUUUUUCAGAGAUUCAUUUUUGGAAUAAAAUUUUAUUGAAAAUAAUAAAUAAAUAUCAACACAUAAGAAAUAGUUAAAAUAUCAUAUAUGAUACAUUUAGUUUUGUUUAUAAUUUUUUUUGUAAAUAAGUAUUUAAAAUAUAAGUUUAUUUAUUCUUAGUGUAUGAAAAUUAAAAACUAAAAUAAAAUCUUUAAAAAAAAUAUUUUUUAUUUUUUUUGCUUAAACAAAAAUAUGGUUUUAUUGAAAAGUAUAUUCAAAAGUAUUGAAAUCUCAUGCCCUGUAAAGAGAUAGAUGUCUUAUUAAAAAUAAAAGAAAACAUAUCUUGGGAUUUUUUUUUGUGAACUUGAGUUUUGGUAUUGUUCUCGAUUCCCUUCUUGUGAAAUCAUCUCUAAUCUGGAACUUCAAAGAUAUAAUAUAUAUAUAUAUAUAUAUAUAUAUAUAUAUAUAUAUAUAUAUAUAUAUAUAUUAAUUGAUUUGUAUAUAAUAGACACACACAGGUUUUAAAAAUAUGUUAUGCUAUUAAAACUAUAUUUGAAAACUUUUCAAACCACAAAACUAACGUAAGUACUUAAUUCAUAUCAGAUUCAGAUAUACUUACUGUUACCAAGAUGCAGACAAAACUCUGAAUUCUUUUGAAGAUUUGCUGUAGAAAUAUAACAAUCUUCAACUUGAAUCAUGCAACGAUAAUUAUUUGUUUUCAACUCAUGCAAAGAGAAUUAAAAAGAAUUAGAGAAUGUUAAUUUGAGAAGGAAAGAAAACAAAUCUGAAUAAAGGCCAAACAUAAACUUGUAUGGAUUUUUUUUUGCUACAUUGAAAAUAAAGAAAUAAACGAUAUAAAGAAAAAAAAGAGAAGGAUAAUAAAUCCUAUGCACCUUUGGAGUGUGAUCUGACCUCUACUUGGUGUCUUUUUUUUUUUUUUUUGAUCAACUCCUCUACAAAAAAAUUGAUCAAUUCCUCUUUUUUUGGUGUCUAAACUUCGUGAAAGAUCGAUGAGGGUUUGAUAUUGCUGUUACCUACUGGUACUGGCACAAAAAAAUUAUACUUUAACUCUUUAUUUGCACCGUUCUAUUUUUUUCUUGUCGGGAUUUUUGUUGAGCCUCUGUAUGAGGAUGAACCUCUGUAGUGCUUUUCUAUCAUUUUAAUGGAAUUUUCAGUGACAAAAAGAAAAUUGCUUGGAAGCUAAGAGAUGGAAACUAUCAGAACAUGUGACGUGAUUGGAAGUUAAUUAUAGUUGACAUGAUUUUUUGAAAAAUCUGAACGUGUUAGUGAUAUGAGAAAUUUAAGGCUUUAGACUUUUACGGUUGCUAAAAAAAUAUGAUCGAGAGUAGAUUUUUAAUUGAUCAUUUUUAAAAAAAUUAAAAAAUAUAUACACACAUGUCAGGAUUUGAUUCGCCAAGCGACUUGCGCUUUAGUAUAUAAAAGAUAUAAUGCUUCAUAAAAUAAUUUUUAGGAAUCAAGUAUUUCUAAAUUAUAGAAAAUGUUUCAAAAGUUUCAGUAGAUAUUAUAUACCUUCAAAACUUAAGUGAUUUUAUUAAAACUAAAUCAUGAAUAUUAUAUAUAACUAAUUUUAGUAAAAUUAUCAAUACAAAAUAUAAAAAAGUAUUUAAAAAAGAUGUAUUUAUCCUUUUUUAACUUAUUCUUAGAAAAAUAUUUAACAAAAAACACAUAAUGAUAAAAACACAUUUUAAUUUGAAAAAUUAUAAUAAAUAUAUUGUUACAAAAAAUUCAAACCAGCGAAAUCGCGGGCAUCCACCUAGUUUAUAAUUAUAAUUGUCUGAAUUAUUGCAUUUUAAAAUCAAUUAUUAUUGUUAGUUAAUUUAUGUUAAAUUUCGAAAUUAUUACAUAUAUAUAGUAAGUUAAUAUAUGUAUAAUAUCUUACUUUUGUUAGUUUGCCUUAUUCGAUAUCGAUUUCUUUUUUAAUAUGAAAUAAACAGUUUUUGAGAAACAUUGACAUAUUUAAAAAAUAACAAAUUAAAAUGUUUAUUUGGCAUAAUAUGGUUGGUUGUUUUAAAUCAUAUGUGGACCUUUUCAAUGGCUUAUAGCCUCAACUUUUAUUUAAUAGUUUACCUUAUUUGAUGUUGAAUUCCAUUUUGUGUUAUCAAUUUUUGAAAUUUUAACAUUUUAAAAAUAGUAAACUAUAAUUAUGAUUUUUCAUAUUUAGUUUUUUUUUUCUAAACCUAUGUGUACACUCUCAAUGACUUAUAGUCUCAUAUAUAAUAUAUGUUAAUUUUGAAUAUUUAAAUAGCAUAUAAUGUUUUACUUUUGUUAACUUACCUUGUUUGAUAUUGGUUUCUAUUUUAUUUUAAGUAAUUUUAUGGAACUUUUUAAAUCCUAAUCUAUAUAUAUAUAUAUAUGUUUGUCUCCUUCCUGGACCCUCCACGUCAGAAACUCGAGUCUUGAGGAGCUGCCACGUGUCCAGCCGAGCAAAACACACCGUAUCAUUUAAACUCUACCAUUGUGGGCUUCGAUCGCUGAACUGGGCUCUGAAAUAGGAAGAUUUAUCAAAAGAAAUUGUGACACGGGGCUAGGUGAGAUUUCUUUUUCCCGUUCAGUUCUUGAUGGAUCAUUAUUGGUUCAGUGGAAGUCUAAGAAACCAAGAACAGAGAAAGAAAUAGUUGGUUCUUCAAACAUUAGUUUCCAACAUUUAACUUCUUCUUAUGAUAGUGUCGAGCCAGAUGCAGAGGCGAUUGGACGGAUGAAAGAGAUUAAGUGAAAUGAAACAUUUUUACAAUUCAACGAAUCAAACACAUAACUAAAAUUUAAUUUUUUUUAUUUGACUCUUCUUUUUUUUUGAUGAAAUUUUAAAUUUAUUGAUCAUCAGUGAAAAAGAAUAGUUAUGUACAAAGGACUAAAGAUUUAAAAAGAUGAACAAGAAUCCUAAGCCCUAUGUAUGUGUUUUGUACCACUCUUGCAUAAGAUCUCUCAACCGUUGCUUCUCCAAAUAUCUGGUAGCUAAAAGCCGAUUACGAACAGUCUAGGUUUAUUUGACUCUUCACCUUAUAUAUAAUUUUCAAUAACAAAAUCAGAUAUUUGAAUAUUAAAAUUUUUGAAAUUGGUAAGACAAAAAAAUAACU